rnacentral:rRNA from 1 species
GAUGAACGCUGGCGGCGUGCCUAAUACAUGCAAGUCGAGCGAACAGACGAGGAGCUUGCUCCUCUGACGUUAGCGGCGGACGGGUGAGUAACACGUGGAUAACCUACCUAUAAGACUGGGAUAACUUCGGGAAACCGGAGCUAAUACCGGAUAAUAUAUUGAACCGCAUGGUUCAAUAGUGAAAGACGGUUUUGCUGUCACUUAUAGAUGGUUCCGCGCCGCAUUAGCUAGUUGGUAAGUUAACGGCUUACCAAGGCAACGAUGCGUAGCCGACCUGAGAGGGUGAUCGGCCACACUGGAACUGAGACACGGUCCAGACUCCUACGGGAGGCAGCAGUAGGGAAUCUUCCGCAAAGGGCGAAAGCCUGACGGAGCAACGCCGCGUGAGUGAUGAAGGUCUUCGGAUCGUAAAACUCUGUUAUUAGGGAAGAACAAAUGUGUAAGUAACUAUGCACGUCUUGACGGUACCUAAUCAGAAAGCCACGGCUAACUACGUG